rnacentral:tRNA from 1 species
GCCCCAGUAGCAAAGCGGCCUACUGUGAUAUUCUGCCCCUGUGUUUGGAUCAGGAGAUCGCGAGUUCAAAUCUCGCCUGGGGCU